ensembl:lncRNA
UCUUUUUUUUUUUGUUUUUUUGGUUUUUUGUUUUUUGAAACCACAAACAUUCCAGCAUCACACUGUAGGAAUAAGAAUAACAAUAGAAAGCAUAACCUUUUGCAUAAUGUUCAAGUCCAAAGCUAGAGGCUUCCCUGUAAAUAGAUAACACUUUUGUUUUCUUCUGAAUAUGAUAUCCCAAAUAGGCCAUAGAAACCCAAUACAUGUUAUACAAAGGUUAAUCACCAUAUUUACAAAGCGAACAAUCCUGACUGAGUUUCAAUCACUUUGUUGCUAGGAGUUAGCUAAAUAAUUAUGUUUCCAUGCUAGCUUUUUACUGUUAAGAAACGGGUCACACUAUGUGUUGAAGAGAGAGUUGUAUAUACCUUCAAAGACCUGUUCUGCUGUUGAGUGAAAGGUUUGGAUCAGAUAGCGAACUAAGACUUGGAGCCAAAAAACAUUCAAGCUUCUACACAAGAGUCCGGAAGCUGGCAAGUCAAGCUGAUUAGAGCGUUACCUGGCUGAAUAGUCUUGAUGCACCCUGAAAACGUUUUAGUCACUUCAGUCUGCAGUUUGGCCAUGAGUCUAAUCUUGUUUUGGAGAGUUCUGGCUUGGUUUAGUGCUUGUGACUGCAGAGAUGCACCACUUUACGAGCCAACUCUAAGACAACCAGUAAGACCUUAACAAAUCAAUUUAUCAAGCUAGUUUGAGAGUGUUUUUCAACACAUCUGGCAUAAUCAGUUGUGUAAUUCAAAAUGUCUUUUGCACUGUACAGUUAUGGAAAAAGAUCAUAUGCUGAAAAGUCUCCAAGCAAACUUUAUAUUAAAUACAAAAAUUAUUUAUGAAAAAUCUGUGAUCCACAAAGUGCUUAGCAUUCAAGUGGUUGACAUAGCAAUUAUAGAUGCUCAUAAGUUUUAUGUUAUCAGGGCUGUUACCAUCUUGAAAAAUCUUUUUUCACCCUCCAUACUGCAGGUUUUCUAAACAGCUUUCUUCGUAGAAAGCUCAAGGUACAAUAACAUGACUGUGUUACAGUGAUACCUUGAGACUACAGGAAGACAAGCUCGGUUAAAAAACAAAAAGUCACACAAAGCACAUCUCAAUAUACAAUUAAUAAAGUUUCAUUCAGACCUAAUAGUGCAGAAAUGAUAUUGUUCCUUUAAAAAAAUCAAAGCAACAACCUACAGUGAUUCUCAUCCAAAAUGCCAACAGCCCGUACUUCGCAAGUAGUAAGGAAAUCAAUGCCUAAAGUACUAACUGAAAGGGAUUAACACAAUAUAUCACAAUAUUUUAACAUUAGUUUUUAUCUCCAUAUAGACAACCCAAAUAUAACUUAUUAUAUUUAUAAACUCAUAUAAUAUCUCUCUAAAAAUAGUUUUGGAAGCCAUUGCCAUAUGUUAAAAGAAUGAAACAGCCUCCAUUAUUGUAUGUUGCACCAAAACAAAGUCAAGCAGAUUAUCGGGGGGGAAGAGACAACCUGAUAAUUUUGAUUUUUAUUUGAAACAAAGGAAGCCUGGUUUACCUCCCUGUAUACAGGAUCACAAUGCUACAUCCAAUGUGUUUUAUUUUGGCUUCUUUUGUUAUUUACUAGCAGUAUCUACAUUAUUUAACACC